rnacentral:rRNA from 1 species
AGCGUAUAUUAAAGUUGUUGCAGUUAAAAAGCUCGUAGUUGAAUUUCGGGGUUAGUAGGUUGGUCAUGCCUCUGGUAUGUACUGGUCUCACUGAUUCCUCCUUCCUGAUGAGCCGUAAUGACAUUAAUUUGGUGUUGCGGGGAAUUUGGACUGUUACUUUGAAAAAAUUAGAGUGUUUAAAGCAAGCUAACGCUUGAAUACAUUAGCGUGGAAUAAUGAAAUAGGACGUUCGAUCCUAUUUUGUUGGUUUCUAGGAUUGACGUAAUGAUUAAUAGGGAUAGUUGGGGGCAUUAGUAUUCAAUUGUCAGAGGUGAAAUUCUUGGAUUUAUUGAAGACUAACUACUGCGAAAGCAUUUGCCAAGGAUGUUUUCAUUAAUCAAGAACGAAAGUUAGGGGAUCGAAGACGAUCAGAUACCGUCGUAGUCUUAACCAUAAAC